rnacentral:lncRNA from 1 species
CAGCUUUUCUGAAAGACAUGUUCAUAUCUAGUGGAUACAUUCUAAAGUAGAAUUGGAUUACAUAUUCUGUAUCUUUCCAUUAGACAUUCCCUGUUUUCUAAAGUAUUAAUUUAUUGUUUUACACUUCUUUCCACAAUUACCCUCACCAUUUUUUGACUUACUUUAAAAUUUCAGAUAUUCAAGUACAUGUAUAUUGAAAAUCAUUUUAAUUGGUGUUUUGCUCUUGACUAGUGAUUUAUAUUUGAGCCAUUUUGUUGAGGUUAAUAUAGGAAAAAGUAACAUGACCUUACCAGUUUAAGAACAUGUUAACAGGAAAAAUAAAAUCUGGAAUUUGUUUUUCCCAUAAAAACAAGUUAGAUUAGCAAGAUGUUGAUAAUUAUUAAGAUUGGGUAAUUGGAAACAUAGAGGUUCAAUUAUACAUUUGUGUUUUAAUGUAAAGAGAUUCUUUUUCUCAUGUUAAAAAUUAGUAAAUAAUAAACUAUGGGGAGAUGGGU